UACCAGGUAGGCAGCUGGUUUGUGCCAUCAUCAGUCGGGCAUUGAAAAGCAAAAGAAACGGCAAUGUAUCGAGUUCAUAUUCCGAGUCUAGAUGUGUUCUUAUUUCGUUUUUGAAAGGUCAAGGUUGCUGAUAAUUGAAAAUUGGCAAAGUGUGUGAAUUGCUGCCGAUGCUGACGCUGUUUACGAGAGCAAAGUGUGUGAUGAAAGAUGGAGAAAUAUGCGAUUACAAUUUGAAAAAAUUUGAAAGUGUGCAAUGAAGAGCACUGAUAAAUGUAAAAGCAUCUCGUAGCGUAGUGAGAGCAAAAGUGUUGCACACGGAAUUUCCGAAUGAGUUGUUGAAAUGCAGAUGAACAGCUGAUUGCUUGCAUUAUUGGUGGCGGCUAUUAAGAAGACAAGCGUGAAUUUGUGACAUGCGGCUGGUGUGAGGUAUACAUAGAUCGAGAUAUCGAAAAGUGCAUCCAAAAGGAUUUCAGCCAUAACGGACGGGAAAGUUGGAUGCGGCAUAGACGGUGAAUGCUUCGGUGAUCAUGAGGCGUGAGAACGGAUGGUGCAAGCGGUUUCAUAUCUGUGGAUUCUUUCUGGUGCAGAUUGUAGUCUUGGUUUGGACUAAUGAAACCAUACAGACAGUGGACUCACCCUAUGCAAACGAUAAUAAUGCUUUAAAAGAGGUCACCACGACUGAAAGUAUUCACACAACGAAGCUAAUCGAGGAAAUUACCGACAAUAGUAUUUUGAUUAGUCCUACAUCGAAUCAAGCUCUCCUGGAAUUAGUUUUUCUGGAGGAAAAUAACGUCGCUGUCCCAUCCGCGGAAGAUGAUGAUCAUUUCAGUAAUGACACAACCGAUCUUACUACUGCCUCUUAUUCAUCAAAGGAAACUAUCGACCAUGUUAUUACUUCGGACGUGGCGAACCAAACCGGCCCGGUUAUUCCAGAUGUGGAAACAACUUCGUUGCCAUCAUCGAAUUGUUCCAGUUAUGCUAUUCAUAGCAAUGUCGUUGAUUUGUCCAUUGGUGGUGAGUACCGCAACGUGAGACAUCAAGUGCGCAACCAUCGUCGCCAUAAUCAAUUGACGGUCUUAAGUGGUGAUCAUGACACUGCAGAAGUCGAGAGCCGUAAUGGUAGCUCAAUGGAGAGCGGCGUUCAUCAUUUCGUUUAUUCGCUCGAGGGGGACUUUUCGAUUUCGUUGAUUACCGACCAAGACGAUUUCGGUGCAAGUCUGUUCACGGUGGAUCGCAUCAACGAGCUUCAAUUGAUAAAUGAUAAUGGCACUUUGGGAUUGAGAAUUGUGGUGGUGCCGAAUAUUUCACAUGCGUUGGAGUUGCUGAAAGAAGAGGUUGAAUUUUUGAAGCACUGCCUGCCAAAUUCU